UUCCUGGUGGUCUAGUGGUUAGGAUUUGGCGCUCUCGUCGCCGCGGCCUAGGUUCGAUUCCCAGUCAGGGAA
rnacentral:tRNA from 1 species